ensembl:lncRNA
AUUUGUGGCCAUAUCCCUUUCAUCCUUGGCAGUGCUGCUGUGUGGCUAUUAUCUCCUUCCUAGAAGCCCACAGGAACCUUCUCAGCCUUUGCCCACAGCCUUCUGAGAGAUUCGUUCUCAUGCUUAGCUGAGGAAAGAGACUGUGGGAGCUUCAGACCAGCUUCAGCAGAGCUUGUGCAAGGGAACUCGUGUUUGUACAGCCAGCCUUACACAGAACUGUGGCAGACCAACUUUUUUCUCUCCUGUCCUUGCUAUAUGGCCUCAUAUUUUGGUGGCACCUGCAGGAUUUGUUCUCCUUCCACAGUAGUGACUACAGAAGAAGUUGUGCUGCCAAUUUUAUCCAAGAGAGCCUGCUUACCCUACCCUACCCUUCUUUCCCCUGGCUGAGAUUCCAUGAUUACAGGUGAGUCUGCUAGUAAGACUGUUUGGUUUCUCUUUACUUUAUAUGGACACUGUUAGCACUCUGAAACACCGUAUAGAACACUAUCAACAAGAAUUUGCACACGAAAACACAGAAAUCUCUGUGUCAAACCAAUCAAUGGGUACUCCUACUUUUUAAAUGCAAUUAGCAUUCCAGAUCUGAAAGGGCAGGCCUAACCCACAGGAGUAUCACAGUGAAGUUAGAGGAGAGGAAGAUGUAAUGGGCAGAUGCAUUAUAAAAAUGGUGAACAAACAUGCUGACUUCGCUUCUCUUUAAAUUAUGCCAAAUUAUUGCAAAACACUAGGAAAAAUCCAAACCCCUAUUAAAAAGAGGCCACAUGAGAAAAUUAUUAGUGGAUGUGUAACAACAGAGUGUGCUUGCUUGUAAGAGUGCAAGGUCUUUAAUGAGUAAGUUUUGUACUAAAUAACAGCAGUGGAGUAGCAGAUCUGAGCCUGCAAAUGUGACCAAGCCCUUGCUGAUGGACUUAGGAAAGACUGAAGCUGCAGCUGAUGCUUGCAGAAUGUCACUUUGAAGAGCAGCUCCCAUGAUCAGCUGUUAUGUCAUCCUGUGCAGAGGUUUUUGUUUGAAUUUGUGCAACUUCAUGUGAACCAUGUAAACUAAACCCAGUGCUGUGUCUACAAAUAACAAAUAACGCAUAGCAAGUAAGUACAAGUGUCAUGGUAAAGUCGUGCUGCAUCAGAAAGCUCAGCCUUCAAUAAGUUGCAGAGCCUAAAACCACAGAAACAAAAAAAUAAUUAUAGUGACUCAUGAGGGCUGUAGAGGAAUUCUUCUGAAUUAAUAACAAUAUUCAUGUGCUGCUUUCCCUUCAGCACAUCAACCACAAGCACACAGAGGCUGUUGGUAGCGACGCAAGACCUUCGUUGUGGGCGAUGAUGGUGAUGAUGAUGGUCCCAUUCUGCUGAUGGGUUCUUCUGCUGCCACUUUGCUACAGGGUACAGCAAAACCUCUCAUUUAUUUAGUGCAUUGGUCAGCCUGAAAACUCUGCUGUGGUGGCUCAGAAUGAAGCUGCUGGGACAAAUGCAGUGAAGGGUUCAGAAGUUCAGCACAUAAACUCUUUAACAUUGGAUUCCUUUAUUCGGAUCUUCAGGUGAGAGAACAAGAUACAGCUUGGUCAGACAGGUCUGAAGUCUGGGACAUAACAACUGUUUGGUUUUCUGUCUCUGUUACUGAUGACAAUUCCUUGAGCAGCUUAACUGUUGGAAAUAGCACUCAAUGUGUGUUUAUCUACUGGCCUUAACUGAUAUUUAGUAUUUUAUUUCAGAUGUAUUCUUUAAUAAUUAGCACACUAUGAAUUUGGCUUCUAAUUAAUGUCCAUUCAAUUUAGGUUCCAUUUUAAGAAAAGCUGUUCACAAUUCUGUGGGAUUCACUUCAAAUCAACUCUUAAAAUUUUGAGGUAUUUUUUAACUGGAAAGCAAUUGUCAGGGAAGAAGUUCUGCACCGAUUGAGUCACAGCUGCUCCUAUAACCCAAUCAAAUCUUCUCCAGUAAGGUCCUAGGGGUUCUCACUAGCUCUUCCUAGCAUGUAAGAUCAUUGACUCAUGAUUUUACACAUUUAUUACUGGAUGGGCAAAAGGUGUUAUUGCAAUACACUUGGCCUACAAAGGUCCAUAUUCUCCUUCAGUUUCUUGGGAGUCCCAGUUGAGUAGUUCACCUACCAGCAGGGUGGUCUACAUUCUGUGCAAGGGCUUGAGAAAAUUUUAAUUGCCCAAGUGACUUGAAUAUACUUCUUAGUGCUUCACCAUGGCUAUAGGCAAUAUUAUCAAACAUUUUUCUGUGUGGGAGGAAGCAACAUGACAGGAACUUCCUUGUUCAUUUCCAGGAAAGAGGUAGCAUGUUUUUUCAGGUUCUAAUGCUAUAAAUUAUUACUGGCAGGUGCCAAAUUCUGUUUACAUUUUUAUUUCUUGCUGAAAGGUAACAGCAUUCCAAGUUCUGCUUUUGGUAAAACAGACUUGUCACUGCCUCUUGUGUAAGCAUAGGAUUUAUAAUAAAGGUUUUUGUGACAGUGUAUAAGAGCUCA